rnacentral:lncRNA from 1 species
GGAUGAGGACCGUGGCGUGGUAUAAAAUAAUCGGCCGUGUACCCGGGAUAUUUUAUCGGACGAGGAAACCCAGAUUAAAAAUAGAAACGACUAUUUCGGCCGAGUGGAAGAGGGGCCGCUGCCGCUCUUGGGUCCAUCACACUUAUUCCCGGAAGAAAAACCAGUAGUCGACCAUCCUACGUGCCACAAGCCAGCCCACGCCUUCCACCCAGAAAUACCAGCGGAAGUAAAAUUAGUGCCGGCCGAAGAGAACUUAAACGGUGCCCAUAUCCUCCACCAACAGGAACUUCCGGCCAGUGGCUGGAGGGAAAGACAUCCGUUGGGCCCAGUGGCCAGUACGGUGGAGGGAGAAACCACCGCGGACUCUCCCACUGGAACAGAAAAAGAUAUGGGAGAGAUAGGACCGACGGAAGAAAUGGGGAAGAAGAAAGAGGAGGGGUCUUCCCGCCCCCGGCCCACCUUAUCCGACCAAAACCAGUCGACGAUUCGGCCAGCCGAGGAGUUACCAAAAGAAAAAAACGAUUUCCGACAAAAAACCGCCGAGGAGGCGGACGGACCGACGGAGCGAAUGCACCGCUCCCAAGACGGAGCGGUGGAUGAGACGCUGUCGGCACCCGCGA